CGGGCGGAGCCUACCAGCAGUUGGAGUUGUGGACGGAGCCCGGCUCCCGUAAGAGUCCGGGCGGAGUCUUCCUGCAAUUAAAGUCAAGUGCGAAGUCCGGCUCCCGUAGGAGUCCGGACGGAGCUUACCAGCAGUUGAAGUUGGUGACGGAGCCCGGCUCCCGUAGGAGUCCGGACGGAGCUUACCAGCAGUUGGAGUUGUGGACGGAGCCCGGCUUCCGUAGAAGUCCGGACGGAGUCUUC
rnacentral:lncRNA from 1 species